GAUGAACGCUGGCGGCGUGCCUAAUACAUGCAAGUCGAGCGAACAGACGAGGAGCUUGCUCCUCUGACGUUAGCGGCGGAUGGGUGAGUAACACGUGGAUAACCUACCUAUAAGACUGGGAUAACUUCGGGAAACCGGAGCUAAUACCGGAUAAUAUAUUGAACCGCAUGGUUCAAUAGUGAAAGACGGUUUUGCUGUCACUUAUAGAUGGAUCCGCGCCGCAUUAGCUAGUUGGUAAGGUAACGGCUUACCAAGGCAACGAUGCGUAGCCGACCUGGGAGGGUGAUCGGCCACACUGGAACUGAGACACGGCCCAGACUCCUACGGGAGGCAGCAGUAGGGAAUCUUCCGCAAUGGGCGAAAGCCUGACGGAGCAACGCCGCGUGAGUGAUGAAGGUCUUCGGAUCGUAAAACUCUGUUAUUAGGGAAGAACAAAUGUGUAAGUAACUAUGCACGUCUUGACGGUACCUAAUCAGAAAGCCACGGCUAACUACGUG
rnacentral:rRNA from 1 species